GGCGAACGCUGGCGGCGUGCUUGAACACAUGCAAGUCGAACGGAGAUAGAAGCUUGCUUCUAUCUUAGUGGCAAACGGGUGAGUAACGCGUGGGUAACGUACCCUAAAGUGGGGGAUAACAGGUCGAAAGGUCUGCUAAUACCGCAUACCCUUCAAGUACGAAAGUAUUUGAAGGAAAGGAGUAAUCCGCUUAAGGAGGGGCGCUGCGUCCUAUCAGGUAGUUGGUGAGGUAACGGCUCACCAAGCCUAUGACGGGUAGCUGGUCUGAGAGGAUGAUCAGUCACACUGGAACUGAGACACGGUCCAGACUCCUACGGGAGGCAGCAGUGGGGAAUAUUCCGCAAUGGGCGAAAGCCUGACGGAGCGACGCCGCGUGGAUGAUGAAGACCCUAUGGGUCGUAGAAUCCUUUUGUGAGGGAAGAAGAUCUGACGGUA
rnacentral:rRNA from 1 species